rnacentral:rRNA from 1 species
UGCGUAGGCGGUUUGCUAAGUCAUUUGUAAAAGAUCUCAGCUCAACUGAGUAAGGCGAAUGAAACUGGCAGACUUGAAUACGGUAGAGGUAAGUGGAAUUCCAUGUGUAGCGGUGGAAUGCGUAGAUAUAUGGAGGAACACCAAUGGCGAAGGCAACUUACUGGGCCGGAAUUGACGCUGAGGCACGAAAGCGUGGGGAGCAAACAGGAUUAGAUACCCUGGUAGUCC